rnacentral:rRNA from 1 species
GGCGACCGGCGCACGGGUGAGUAACGCGUAUGCAACCCAUUUAUCAGAGGGGAAUAACCCGGCGAAAGUCGGACUAAUACCGCAUAAAACAGGGACACCGCAUGGUGAUAUUUGUUAAAGAAAUUCGCUGAUAGAUGGGCAUGCGUUCCAUUAGGUAGUUGGUGAGGUAACGGCUCACCAAGCCGACGAUGGAUAGGGGAACUGAGAGGUUGGUCCCCCACACCGGUACUGAGACACGGACCAGACUCCUACGGGAGGCAGCAGUGAGGAAUAUUGGUCAAUGGGCGAGAGCCUGCGCCAGCCAAGUCGCGUGAAGGAAGAAGGAUCUAUGGUUCGUAAACUUCUUUUGCAGGGGAAUAAAGUGCAGGACGUGUCCUGUUUUGUAUGUACCCUGAGAAUAAGGAUCGGCUAACUCCGUGCCAGCAGCCGCGGUAAUACGGAGGAUCCGAGCGUUAUCCGGAUUUAUUGGGUUUAAAGGGUGCGUAGGUGGUUUGAUAAGUCAGCGGUGAAAGUUUGCAGCUUAACUGUAAAAAUGCCGUUGAAACUGUCGGACUUGAGUGUAAAUGAGGUAGGCGGAAUGCGUGGUGUAGCGGUGAAAUGCUUAGAUAUCACGAAGAACUCCGAUUG